rnacentral:rRNA from 1 species
UCCAGCUCCAAUAGCGUAUAUUAAAGUUGUUGCCGUUAAAAAGCUCGUAGUUGAACUUCCAUGGGCUCAGGCGGUCCUGCGCCUCGCGGMAGYGUACGGUCUGGGCCCGUGCGGAUGAGCGGCCGGUGAACCCUUGUUGAUGCCCGUUUGUUCGGACGUCCGGGGUGAACCGCCUCUGUUACCUUGAGAAAAUUAGAGUGUUCAAAGCGGGCGGCGUGAAUUUCGCCUGAAUACGUUAGCAUGGAAUAACGAAAUAGGACGUGCGGUUCUAUUUUGUUGGUUUCUAGAGUCGCCGUAAUGAUCGAUAGGGACGGUUGGGGGCAUUAGUAUUCGGUCGCUAGAGGUGAAAUUCUUGGAUCGACCGAAGACUGACUGCUGCGAAAGCGUUUGCCAAGGACGUUUUCAUUAAUCAAGAACGAAGGUUAGGGGAUCGAAAACGAUCAGAUACCGUUGUAGUCUUAACAGUAAACGAUGCCGACUAGGGAUCGGGCGACCUCGAUUCGAUGUGUCGCUCGGCACCUUACGAGAAAUCAAAGUCUUUGGGUUCGGGGGGGAGUAUGGUCGCAAGGCUGAAACUUAAAGGAAUUGACGGAAGGGCACCACCAGGAGUGGACCUCGC